rnacentral:rRNA from 1 species
CCUACGGGGGGCAGCAGUGAGGAAUAUUGGUCAAUGGGCGCGAGCCUGAACCAGCCAAGUAGCGUGAAGGAUGACUGCCCUACGUGUUGUAAACUUCUUUUAUCAAGGAAUAAAGUGAGGCACGAGUGCCCUGUUGUGUGUACUUUAUGAAUAAGGAUCGGCUAACUCCGUGCCAGCAGCCGCGGUAAUACGGAGGAUCCGAGCGUUAUCCGGAUUUAUUGGGUUUAAAGGGUGCGUAGAUGGGUUGUUAAGUCAGUUGUGAAAGUUUGCGGCUCAACCGUAAAAUUGCAAUUGAUACUGGCAGCCUUGAGUAGAGUUGAGGUAGGCGGAAUUCGUGGUGUAGCGGUGAAAUGCUUAGAUAUCACGAAGAACUCCGAUUGCGAAGGCAGCUUACUAAACUGACACUGACAUUGAUGCUCGAAAGUGUGGGUAUCAAACAGGAUUAGAUACCCCUGUAGUC